ACUCCUACGGGAGGCAGCAGUGAGGAAUCUUGCGCAAUGGGGGCAACCCUGACGCAGCAACGCCGCGUGGAGGAAGAGGGCCUUCGGGUUGUAAACUCCUGUCAGGGGGAACGAAGACACCUGGGUUAAUAGCCCAAGGGUUGACGGUACCCCCAGAGGAAGCCACGGCUAACUACGUGCCAGCAGCCGCGGUAAU
rnacentral:rRNA from 1 species